UACGUAGGGUGCGAGCGUUGUCCGGAAUUAUUGGGCGUAAAGGGCUCGUAGGCGGUUUGUCGCGUCGGGAGUGAAAACCCAGGGCUUAACCCGGGGCUGGCGUCCGAUACGGGCAGACUAGAGGUAUGCAGGGGAGAACGGAAUUCCUGGUGUAGCGGUGAAAUGCGCAGAUAUCAGGAGGAACACCGGUGGCGAAGGCGGUUCUCUGGGCAUUACCUGACGCUGAGGAGCGAAAGUGUGGGGAGCGAACAGG
rnacentral:rRNA from 1 species